AGAUUGAACGCUGGCGGCAGGCCUAACACAUGCAAGUCGAGCGGUAGAGAGGUGCUUGCACCUCUUGAGAGCGGCGGACGGGUGAGUAAUGCCUAGGAAUCUGCCUAGUGGUGGGGGAUAACGUUCGGAAACGGACGCUAAUACCGCAUACGUCCUACGGGAGAAAGGCGGGGGACCUUCGGGCCUCGCGCCAUUAGAUGAGCCUAGGUCGGAUUAGCUAGUUGGUGAGG
rnacentral:rRNA from 1 species